rnacentral:rRNA from 1 species
UCAAAUUUGAAAUCUGGCCCCUCUGGGGGUCCGAGUUGUAAUUUGCAGAGGACACUUCGGGUGCGGUCGCGGUCUAAGUCCCCUGGAACGGGGCGUCGGAGAGGGUGAGAAUCCCGUCUGGGACCGUGGACCUGCCCCGUGUGAAGUUCCUUCGACGAGUCGAGUUGUUUGGGAAUGCAGCUCUAAGUGGGUGGUAAAUUUCAUCUAAAGCUAAAUACCGGCGGGAGACCGAUAGCGCACAAGUAGAGUGAUCGAAAGGUUAAAAGCACCUUGAAAAGGGAGUUAAACAGCACGUGAAAUUGUUGAAAGGGAAGCGCUGGCAGCCAGACAGGGACCCGGGGGCUCAGCGGGCAUGCGUGCCCGUGCACUCCCCCGCGGUCUCGGCCAGCAUCGGUUUCGGCGGCCGGUCAAAGGCCCCGGGAAUGUAUCGUCCUCCGGGACGACUUACAGCCCGGGGUGCAAUGCGGCCAGUCGG